UAGGGAAUAUUGCGCAAUGGGGGAAACCCUGACGCAGCGACGCCGCGUGAGUGAUGAAGGCCUUCGGGUCGUAAAGCUCUGUCGUAUGGGACUAACAAAAUGAAGGUACCAUGCAAGAAAGGAUCGGCUAACUUCGUGCCAGCAGCCGCGGUAAGACGAGGGAUCCUAGCGUUGUUCGGAAUUAUUGGGCGUAAAGCGGGUGUAGGCGGACUUAUAAGUCAGGUGUGAAAUCCCAGGGCUCAACCCUGGAAGUGCACUUGAUACUGCAAGUCUUGAAUGUGGUAGAGGUUACUGGAAUUCUUGGUGUAGUGGUGAAAUACGUAGAUAUCAAGAGGAACACCGAUGGCGAAGGCAAUCCCCUGGACCUGUACUGACGCUCAUGCACGAAAGCGUGGGGAGCAAACA
rnacentral:rRNA from 1 species